GAUGAACGCUGGCGGCGUGCCUAAUACAUGCAAGUCGAGCGAACAGACGAGGAGCUUGCUCCUCUGACGUUAGCGGCGGACGGGUGAGUAACACGUGGAUAACCUACCUAUAAGACUGGGAUAACUUCGGGAAACCGGAGCUAAUACCAGAUAAUAUAUUGAACCGCAUGGUUCAAUAGUGAAAGACGGUUUUGCUGUCACUUAUAGAUGGAUCCGCGCCGCAUUAGCUAGUUGGUAAGGUAACGGCUUACCAAGGCGACGAUGCGUAGCCGACCUGAGAGGGUGAUCGGCCACACUGGAACGGAGACACGGUCCAGACUCCUACGGGAGGCAGCAGUAGGGAAUCUUCCGCAGUGGGCGAAAGCUUGACGGAGCAACGCCGCGUGAGUGAUGAAGGUCUUCGGAUCGUAAAACUCUGUUAUUAGGGAAGAACAAAUGUGUAAGUAACUAUGCACGUCUUGACGGUACCUAAUCAGAAAGCCACGGCUAACUACGUG
rnacentral:rRNA from 1 species